rnacentral:ncRNA from 1 species
AAAUAUUUUAUAAACAAUAUGUAAAGAUUUUUAAAAUCUAUUAGAUAUAGAAGGGUUCUAUUUAUAGGAUUAAAUUAUAUUAAUUUUAUAUAUAAUUUAAAUAAUUAUAAAAUUUAAAGUUUGAUUUUAGCUUUUAUAUUUACUUUAUAAAUUUUUUGCAUGUAAAUUUUUGUAUGAAUAUUUUUUAUUUUAAAAAUAUAAAAUUUUUUAAUUAUUUGCAGCAUUUAAUUUUAAUAAUUAAUGAAAAUUAGAAUUAUAAUUUAUAUUUAGUAUGAGCCAAAUAUGUGCCAGCAGCUGCGGUUAUACAUUUUAUGUAAGUAAAUAUUAUUUAAUUUUUAAUAUAUAAUAUAAUAUAAAUUUUUAAUAAUAAAAUAAAAAUUUAAGUGAAAUUUUUUUUUAUUAAUAUUUAUAAAUUAUUUUUUUUUAUAUUAUGAAAUCUUAAUUUUAAACUAGGAUUAGAUACCCUAUUAUUUAAGAUGUAAAAUUUUUAAAGGAUUAAUAGUUAUGUUCUUUAAACUUAAAAGAAUUGGCGGUAUUUAAAACUAAUUAGGGGAAUUUGUUUUUAAAAUGAUAAUCCGCAAGAAACCUUACUUUAAUUUAUUUAAUUUAUUUAUUGCCGUUAACAGAUUAUUUUAUAAGAAUAAUAAAAUUUUCAAAAAUUUUUAUAUAAAUAUAUUUCAGGUCAUUAUGUAGUUUAUAUUAAAGUUAAAAUGAGUUACAAUAAAAUUAAUUUAAAUGGAAAUUUAAUUGAAAUUAUUAAUUUGAAAGUGGACUUAAUAGUAAAAUAAAAUUUAUUACAUUUAUUUGAAUUUAGAAUUAAAUAUGUACAUAUCGCCCGUCACUCUCAUUUUAAGAUGAGAUAAGUCGUAACAAAGUAGAUAUACUGGAAAGUGUUUCUAGAAAGUUUU